rnacentral:rRNA from 1 species
UGGGAAUUUUGGACAAUGGGCGAAAGCCUGAUCCAGCCAUGCCGCGUGCAGGAUGAAGGCCUUCGGGUUGUAAACUGCUUUUGUACGGAACGAAAAGCCUCUUUCUAAUAAAGAGGGGUCAUGACGGUACCGUAAGAAUAAGCACCGGCUAACUACGUGCCAGCAGCCGCGGUAAUACGUAGGGUGCAAGCGUUAAUCGGAAUUACUGGGCGUAAAGCGUGCGCAGGCGGUUUUGUAAGACAGAGGUGAAAUCCCCGGGCUCAACCUGGGAACUGCCUUUGUGACUGCAAGGCUGGAGUGCGGCAGAGGGGGAUGGAAUUCCGCGUGUAGCAGUGAAAUGCGUAGAUAUGCGGAGGAACACCGAUGGCGAAGGCAAUCCCCUGGGCUGCACUGACGCUCAUGCACGAAAGCGUGGGGAGCAAAGCAGGAUUAGAUACCCUGGUAGUCCACGCCCUAAACGAUGUCAACUGGUUGUUGGGUCUUCACUGACUCAGUAACGAAGCUAACGCGUGAAGUUGACCGCCUGGGGAGUAC